UACGUAGGGUGCAAGCGUUGUCCGGAAUUAUUGGGCGUAAAGAGCUCGUAGGCGGUCUGUCGCGUCGGCUGUGAAAACCUGGGGCUUAACUCCGGGCCUGCAGCCGAUACGGGCAGACUAGAGUUCGGCAGGGGAGACUGGAAUUCCUGGUGUAGCGGUGAAAUGCGCAGAUAUCAGGAGGAACACCGAUGGCGAAGGCAGGUCUCUGGGCAUUAACUGACGCUGAGGGGCGAAAGCAUGGGGAGCGAACAGG
rnacentral:rRNA from 1 species